rnacentral:rRNA from 1 species
UACGAAGGGGAGCUAGCGUUGUUCGGAUUUACUGGGCGUAAAGCGCACGUAGGCGGAUCGAUCAGUCAGGGGUGAAAUCCCAGAGCUCAACUCUGGAACUGCCUUUGAUACUGUCGAUCUGGAGUAUGGAAGAGGUGAGUGGAAUUCCGAGUGUAGAGGUGAAAUUCGUAGAUAUUCGGAGGAACACCAGUGGCGAAGGCGGCUCACUGGUCCAUUACUGACGCUGGAGGUGCGAAAGCGUGGGGAGCAAACAGG